GAAUGGUUGGGAGUCCUGCAAUCAGCAUGUCAGCAAGCAAAAUGUUGCAUAAACGUUUUAGCCGUUGUUAUAUUAAAGUGAGAAUUAGGUAAAUAAUUCCCUUCACGCAGUUUUGUUUUGUUUCUUGAUUGCUUAAUCGUUAAUCGUAGUAUCUGUGUUACCCACGGGUGCCCCUCCCCCUUAACAUGUGGUUCAAACAAAGUCAAGGGAUAGUGCCCCGGAAUUCACUGAACACACCACUGCAAGAAAUUGAAGCAUGGAUAGUUUCACCUUCAUUGGAUGUUCUAUAUCUCCAUGCUGGAAAAGGAGUAUUUGGAUUGCUACAAGAAGACUUUGUUCUUUGCCUUUAUCAGGAUAAAGUUCCCCCAUCCCUUUGUUCAAAUUAAAAUGACAUAACAAUAAGUCAAGCCGUUCAAGUAUAUUCUGGCUGUUGAAGACUUCACCUCUGUUUGUGAAGAAUCCAGCAAUGAAGAACAAAGUAUCUGAUGUAAUGAACUCAAACGUUCAGUGCCAGUGCUAGACCUUCAUGAGCUGACAGAAAAAAUUUUUGGCCUGUAAAAGCAAUAAUGCCAAUUUCCAGUCUAACAUGGGAAUCUACAUGGAUCACAGUUUCCUUCAGACUGAAAUAUUUGAGUUAAAAAAAAUUAAACUUGGUGAUCGGUGAAUAAAUUAUAUUGUUUUGGCCAUGAAGGAAUUUGAAAGGGCCUUUGGCAAGAAUACAAUCCAAUCUCAACCAAGAAAUCUAGACAGGUGGCUCCCACAAUACAGUUAAAAAAAGACCUUUAAGACAACAGCAAAUCCAAUCUGGAAUUUCGCUACGUUGACGGUCGUCAACGUUGAGAAAGAAGAAAAACCUGAACCCAAAGUAGAGCCAGAAGAACCACCUACCACCGGUAUAACGUCAGCCAACGGAACUAAUUUCACAUUCUUCAAGACUGGCUUUUGUGGCGUGUCCUUGUUGACUUAUGACUAAUGGUUCUAGUGGAGACAUAAAGGAGGAAAGCAGCGCUGGACAUGGUAAACCGGUACCAGACGUAUGUCUACCAGUACACUUUUGCUCAAUAAGAACCAGGCGCCGUAAGAAUGACAUCGCAAAUUUUACUUGCCGCAUAGGAAGUUCUCCAUUACCGAACCCACCGUUAUCACCUCCAUUAUAUCAAUUUAAGGACUAAAGCAACCACAGAUCUGGAAACAGAGAGGCGAUGAAAAUCUUCAUAGUCAAUUAGGUUCGACCUUAUCACAAAGGGUCGCCCGUUGUCUUCCUAGAAUUCCAAAGACUCCAAGAUAACUCGCCGGUUUGAAUCUACCCAUUGACCAGAUCUCUGUUCAAAAAUGUCUCUUUUUUCCGCCCUAACGACCUCCAAUCGUUGAGCAAAUUUGCUUUGUAAGUUCGAACCCUCUGUGUAUGUCCCGCUGAGACGAAAUGGCAACCAAAGCCGGCAACAUGGGCAUGGAUGGUAAAAAUGACCAGGAAGUGGCUCUAUUUCAUCCCGUAUUUCGUCAACGCAAGAUAGUGAAAGCGCCCAAAUUUUCUUUCCUAUUCGUGAUAGAGAUGAAUAUUUUUUGAAGUUCAGACGUCUAGCACUUUCCGUCGUCAACAAGUUGGUGUUGUCGCAGCGGGGGCAAUUGGAAUUCCUAUGGGACGGCGUAUUCUUACAACCAAAUAUGGUAAACAUUUUGGGUUGUUAACGUGGGUUCAGCUUCGGGACCCUCCCUGGUCGCACUAAUUGCUUCUAGUCCUAACGUCGCGUCCGCUACACCAGUUUAAUAUCUUCUGGAAUUUAGCGAUAAAGGAUUUGCGACUAUACCACCUGCCCAGCUCAUGGUGACGCCCAACC
rnacentral:lncRNA from 1 species